GAUGAACGCUGGCGGCGUGCCUAAUACAUGCAAGUCGAACGAAACUUCUUUAUCACCGAGUGCUUGCACUCACCGAUAAAGAGUUGAGUGGCGAACGGGUGAGUAACACGUGGGCAACCUGCCCAAAAGAGGGGGAUAACACUUGGAAACAGGUGCUAAUACCGCAUAACCAUAGUUACCGCAUGGUAACUAUGUAAAAGGUGGCUAUACUACCGCUUUUGGAUGGGCCCGCGGCGCAUUAGCUAGUUGAUAGGGUAAAGGCUUACCAAGGCAAUGAUGCGUAGCCGAAUUGAGAGGUUGAUCGGCCACAUUGGGACUGAGACACGGCCCAAACUCCUACGGGAGGCAGCAGUAGGGAAUCUUCCACAAUGGGCGAAAGCCUGAUGGAGCAACGCCGCGUGGGUGAAGAAGGUCUUCGGAUCGUAAAACCCUGUUGUUAGAGAAGAAAGUGCGUGAGAGUAACUGUUCACGUUUCGACGGUAUCUAACCAGAAAGCCACGGCUAACUACGUG
rnacentral:rRNA from 1 species